GAGAAGUUAAUAUAGACCUGCUAAUUCUUUAACCUGGUAUUAAACUGCCAGCCUUCUCU
rnacentral:tRNA from 2 species